GAUGAACGCUGGCGGCGUGCCUAAUACAUGCAAGUCGAGCGAACAGAUAAGGAUCUUGCUCCUUUGACGUUAGCGGCGGACGGGUGAGUAACACGUGUGUAACCUACCUAUAAGACUGGGAUAACUUCGUGAAACCGUAUCUAAUACCGGAUAACAUUUUGAACCGCUUUGUUCUAAAGUGAAAUAUGGUUUUGCUAUCACUUAUAGAUGUACCCGCGCCGUAUUAGCUCGUUGGUAAGGUAACGGCUUACCAAGGCAACGAUACGUAGCCGACGUGAGAGGGUGAGCGGAAAAACGGGAACGGAGAAAAGGUCAAGACACCUACGGGAGGCAGCAGUAGGGAAUAUUACGCAAUGGGCGAAAGCAUGACGGAGCAAAGCCGCGUGAGGGAUGAAGGGUUUCGGAGCGUAAAAAUCUGUUAUUAGGGAAGAAAAAAAGUGUAAGAAAAAGUGAACGUAGUGACGGUAACUAAAAAGAAAGCAACGGCUAACUACGUG
rnacentral:rRNA from 1 species